rnacentral:ribozyme from 1 species
UUCAGAUUCUUCACUUUCUUCUUCUUCUUUUUCAUCUUUCUCUCCUAGAGGGGAGACAGUAUAAGAACCAGAAAAAGAAGAAGAAAGAACAGCACGAUUACUAUUAGAAGGCAAAGAAGAAGAGA